UUAGUAAGUUGGGAUACAAUUGUUUCGGUCAUGCCGUUGGUAUGUACUGAUAUUAUUGGUUUCUCACCUUCUAAAGAACCGUAAUGCCAUUAAUUUGGUGUCACGGGGGAAUUAGGACUGUUACCUUGAAAAAAUUAGAGUGUUUAAAGCAGGCUCACGCUUGAAUACAUUAGCAUGGAAUAAUGAAAUAGGACAUCCGAUUCUAUUUUGUUGGUUUCUAGGAUCGAUGUAAUGAUUAAUAGGGAUAGUUGGGGGCAUUAGUAUUCAAUUGUCAGAGGUGAAAUUCUUGGAUUUAUUGAAGACUAACUACUGCGAAAGCAUUUGCCAAGGAUGUUUUCAUUAAUCAAGAACGAAAGUUAGGGGAUCGAAGACGAUCAGAUACCGUCGUAGUCUUAACCAUAAACUAUGCCGACUAGGGAUCGGAUGAUGUUUAAUUUUUAAUGACUC
rnacentral:rRNA from 1 species